rnacentral:rRNA from 1 species
ACCGGCGCACGGGUGCGUAACGCGUAUACAAUUUGCCUUGUACUGGGGGAUAGCCCGGAGAAAUUCGGAUUAAUACCCCAUAGUAUUAACAAAUCGCAUGAUUUGUUUCUUAAAGUUUCGGCGGUACAAGAUAAGUAUGCGUCCUAUUAGCUAGAUGGUAAGGUAACGGCUUACCAUGGCAACGAUAGGUAGGGGGCCUGAGAGGGUUGUCCCCCACACUGGUACUGAGACACGGACCAGACUCCUACGGGAGGCAGCAGUGAGGAAUAUUGGUCAAUGGAGGGAACUCUGAACCAGCCAUGCCGCGUGAAGGAAGAAUGUCCUAUGGAUUGUAAACUUCUUUUAUUUGGGAAGAAACUUCUCUACAUGUAGAGAACUGACGGUACCAAACGAAUAAGGACCGGCUAACUCCGUGCCAGCAGCCGCGGUAAUACGGAGGGUCCAAGCGUUAUCCGGAAUCGUUGGGUUUAAAGGGUUCGCAGGCGGUUCAUUAAGUCAGUGGUGAAAUCUCUCGGCUCAACCGAGAAACUGCCAUUGAUACUGAUGGACUUGAAUAUAGUUGGAGUAGGCGGAAUGUGUAGUGUAGCGGUGAAAUGCUUAGAUAUUACACAGAACACCGAUAGCGAAGGCAGCUUACUAAACUAUUAUUGACGCUCAUGAACGAAAGCGUGGGGAGCGAACAGGAUUAGAUACCCUGGUAGUCCACGCCGUAAACUAUGAUUACUCGAUAUUGGCGAUAUACUGUCAGUGUCUAAGCGAAAGUGAUAAGUAAUCCACCUGGGGAGUAC